UGGCGGACGGGUGAGUAACGCGUGGGUAACCUGCCUUACACAGGGGGGAUAACACCUGGAAACAGGUGCUAAUACCGCAUAAGCGCACAGGGCCGCAUGGCCCGGUGUGAAAAACUCCGGUGGUGUAAGAUGGACCCGCGUCUGAUUAGCUUGUUGGCGGGGGUAGAGGCCCACCAAGGCGACGAUCAGUAGCCGGCCUGAGAGGGUGGACGGCCACAUUGGGACUGAGACACGGCCCAAACUCCUACGGAAGGCAGCAG
rnacentral:rRNA from 1 species